rnacentral:rRNA from 1 species
CAAUAGCGUAUAUUAAAGUUGUUGCAGUUAAAAAGCUCGUAGUUGGAUUUGUGGCUGUCCUGAGCGGCUUGACACAAUGUGUUAUUGCUUGCUCGGGUCGCCAUCCUUGGGUGGAACCUGUGUGGCAUUAGGUUGUCGUGCAGGGGAUGCCCAUCGUUUACUGUGAAAAAAUUAGAGUGUUCAAAGCAGGCUUAUGCCGUUGAAUAUAUUAGCAUGGAAUAAUAAGAUAGGACCUUGGUACUAUUUUGUUGGUUUGCGCACCAAGGUAAUGAUUAAUAGGGACAGUUGGGGGUAUUCGUAUUCCAUUGUCAGAGGUGAAAUUCUUGGAUUUUUGGAAGACGAACUACUGCGAAAGCAUUUACCAAGGAUGUUUUCAUUAA